UGUGACAUGGAGGUCGGUCGAUGGUGGCUCAUUGAGCAUCUCUCUGGUUUGCCUGGAUGGAUCUGUACUCGGUCGGUUUGAAGCCUAUAGGUGUCUCCGGCGAUGCUUCUGGGCGUAGGCGGAGCACCUGUGUAGUGUAGAGGUGGUUCCAUGGUGCAUGUCGUGCUGAGUCCAAUUUUUCAUCUUACUUCUUGUUUUGUAUUGUAGCCAUAGGAUUUUCGGGAUUUUAGCGCAUUCGUGCGCCCUUUUUGUCUAUUUUCCCAGGAUCUUAACGAAGGAGAGAAUCAAAGCAUUAUGAUGAGUCCAAUUUAUGUGAUGUUUUUACUAAGUAUUUUGUGCCUACGUAGUAGGCUUUGUGAAAUUUUACCGCGUUCCUGCACUUCUUUUGUUGAUAAUACCUCAGGUAACAUCUUUUGGAUCAAUUAUCAUUUAAUGGAGAAAAUCCUUAGAAAUGGUGGUGGAAUCAUGCAUUUAAUGUGAUGAUAUCUUUCCAUAAAAGAAUCAAGCGAGGAGGCCAAAGAAAUGGAUGUCAUCCCGCUUUCAGCAUGAAUGACGGUGUUCCAUAUGACCAUAAGCAUAUGUAUGAGUGGUCAUAUGGCACCCCACCACCGCCGCUGGAUCAAGUAUUUUCACCCUGUCGAAUCGGAUCAUGAAUCAGACGCCCAAAGACACAAAAACUCAUCCAGAAGAUUGAACCCUAGCCUCCGGAGUUCAUCCGGAGGAGGGAUUGGCAAGGAGAAGUAGGGGAUCCUUCUCACCGCGGAGGAGGACAACGUCAUCAUCACUGGCAUCAUCUUCAACUACAUCAUCAUCAUCAUCCACAUCCUUAUCAUCUGCAACAUCAAGAACCCUAGUGGAUCCUUUGGUGUAUCAUUUGAAUCUCUCAUUCAUGUAUUCCAAUACUAUUGUCAUGAUGUUUGUUGCCCUCAUGUGUGAGUAGACCCCAUGUUCUCGAGGAUAUGGAUGAACCUUGGUAUGUGUAGGAUCUAACAUGUUUAUUGUGGAUAUGAGAUUCUUUGUUGAAUGCUUAGUUUAAUAACUUCGUGAAUGCUGUGAAGGGGCCCCACUCAGCAUUUGUGCCUUAUGUCCACAAAGUUUAUCAUUGUCGUUGUAAAGGUUUAAGACGUGGAGCUAAUUCAAGGUGACAGUAAAAGCCUACCGCUCCUAGCCUUUGCAAUUGAUUGGGGAAUAACAAAGAACCCUUUGAGAGGCUGGUACAUCUCCCACGUAUCUAUAAUUUUUCUUUUUUCCAUGCUAUUAUAGUAUCAAUCUUGGAUAUUUUAUAUGCAAUUAUAUGCAAUCAUAUAUUAUUUUUUGGGACUAACUUAUUAACUUAGUGCCUAGUGGUAGUUGCUAUUUUUUGCCUGUAUUUGGUUUUCCAGGAAAUAAGUACCAAACGAAGUCCAAAUGCCAUGAAUCUUUUUGGCGAUUUUUAUGGACAUAAGAGACCCUUGAAUCUUCGAGAGGAGGCUAGAAGAUGAAAGAGUGGGUCACGACCCAAUUGGGAGCGCCUAGGGGGUAGGCACACCCAUGUGCCUCAUGGGCCCCUCAUUCCUUUAUUUGACCUAAUUCCCACUCUGUAAAUUCUCUAAAAUCGGGAAACCAACAGAGAGCCACCCAAAAUACCUUUUUCCGCUACCGCAAGCUUUCGUUAUCACAAGAUCCCAUCUGGAUGCAUUUUCUGACACUCUGUCGGAAGGGGAAUCGAUCACGGAGGGCCUCUACAUCAACGUUGCUGCCCUUCCGAUGAUGUGUGAGUAGUUUACCAUAGACCUACGGGUCCAUAGCUAGUAGCUAGAUGGCUUCUUCUCUCUCUUUGAUCUUCAAUACAAUGUUCUCCUCGAUGUUCUUGGAUAGCUAUUCGAUGUAAUCCUUUUUUGCGGUGUGUUUGUUGGGAUCCGACGAAUUGUGGGUUUAUGAUCAGAGUAUCCAUGAAUAGACUGACUCCUUUUUUGCGGUGUGUUCAUUGCCUUGGAUAUCAUCGUAACUAUGCGCUUUUCUAUAAAUUGCCCAACAAUAAUUUGUAUAGCCACCGUAUGCUUUUUGUUCGAGAGAGAAGCCUCUAGUGAAAACUAUGGCCGCCGGGUCUAUCUUUAUCAUAUAUUAAAAUCCAAAAAUACCUUGCAGCAAUUAUUUACUUUUAUUUUAUUUUGUGUCUUUGUUUAUCUAUCUAUCACUACCAUAUUUGAUCCUUGCAAUUAACUACCAAGGGAUUGACAAUCCCUUCUUUUGCUUUGGGUGCAAGUAUUUGUUAUUUUGUGUGUAGGUGUUGUUCACGAGGUGUUGCGUGGUUCUCCUACAGGAUCGAUAACCUUAGUUCUUAACUAAGGGAAAUACUUAUCUCUACUGUACUGGAUCAUCCUCUCCUCUUCGAGGAAAUCCCAACGCAGCUCACAAGUAGUAGUUCUUAACUGAGGAAAAUACUUAUCUCUACUGUACUGCUUCAUCCUCUCCUCUUCAAGGAAAUCCCAACGCAACUCACAAGUAGGAGGAAGAAUUUCUGGCGCCGUUGCCGGGGAGACAUCAUCAAAACCUAUCAAGUACCCUAGCAUAAAAUAUCAUCUACUUGCCCUUCUUUUUCUUUGCCUUUGCCUCUCGUUUUCAUCUCCCCUACUUCUAUUUUUUAACAAAAACACAAAAAUAUUUUUAUUUCCCCGUUUGCUUGUUUGAAGUUGCUACGAUGUCUAAAUAUGAGAAAGUUAUUGUUGAAAGCACUAGUGAAGAUAGUGCUAGUGAGUAUCUUGAGGAGAAACUUAAUAAUUUUGAUAUUAAUCAUGAUCCUCAGGAUCAUGAAUUCCCCACAAAUUUGAAAACUAAAAUAUAUCAUGUGGAUAGAGGAAAUAUUAAUGGGAAGAACAUUAUUCAAGAGUUGUUUAAUUGCACAGGAGUUGUACCUAUAAUAAAAGGAUAUAUUCUUAAUAAAACAAGUUGCUAUGUGGGUGUUAUUUCUAUGCAUGUGGUUAAGUUUGAGAGAAUAUUUUUGCAUAUUCAUCCGGUUUUACAAAAGAUAUCUUAUGAACCUAAAAUCAAAAAGAUUGCAACUAUUAUCCUUAUGCAUGAAUUUGACUAUAUAAUUCGGGAGGCUGGGGUCAUCUUUGCAUUUUACAACAUAAAUUAUGAGCACCCUCAUAUAGUAGAAGUUCUUCAUGACAAAGACACUAUAUGAAGGUUGGAAUCUAAAUAUUACUUUGUGUAUGAUGAAAAUCUUAGGAGAAGAGUCCCUUAUGUUGAAAAUAUUAAAACUUUGUAACACCAUACCUGUGUUAAAUUUGAGUGGAUAACUAAAGGGGCUAUUAAAAUGCCCGUGCGUUGCUAUAGGCUAUAGUGCAUAUAAAUGAAGCAAAGAAAUAAUUAAGUCGUUUUAAGAUUGAUGUUUAUUUCUCUAUCAUACGUUGGAGUGUGUUUAAACAUCAAACAGGCGCCUAAGCCUGACAGCAAGAGCAUAAUAUUACCAUGUGACAACAAAAAAAUAGCGGCAUUUGAUAAGAAGAAGGUGCCGUGUAUAGUUUUGAACCAUGUUGGUACGUGUGUCCUUCAUCUUCCUUUGUAAUGUGCUUUUGAUUCUCUGCUGGCAUAGCAGGUCUCCUUGUCCAAUAGAUCUAUCUCCCCUAUCCGCAACCACCUCCACCUCUCCUUCCUAACGGUGUAAUCAUCAGAUGUCACCUGGCUACAUUGGCUCUCAUUCCGACACCAUCUUGUCCCCAUUGACUUGCCCUCGCAUAUCCUGGAUCAAUCCUAGCACAUCUUACCAUUUUGUUCAGGCACCAUCUCAUCAUCACUACACCGCCAAGGGUCCUCCUCACCCUUGGCCCAACACAUCGCAAGAAGUAACCCUGGCCACAUUUUGGCCAAGUAUUAACUACAAGACACACACACAUACACAGUUGAAAAAAAUGUCUAAAUCUGAUAUAUUAUUUGUUAGCUUAUGAACUUCAGUGCCAUGGAAUGAUAUAUAAAAUCAACUAUGAAUUUCAAUACCUAGAUAAAGAUUUACAAGAAACUAAUGGGAGGUAAAAGAUACAUCAUCACAUGGAUUGAUAGUGGAGUAAAAGAUACAUCGUCACAUGGAUUGAUAGUUGACUAAGCUCCAUGGUUUCUAUAACCCAAUCCUUGUCUUCAUGCAAGAACAAGUGCUUGGAUUCCACAGCCCCAUGGCUGCAAGCGCAUCAUCCAUAGUGUAUGUUUCUAGAUUAUUUGUGUCUUUGCUUUAUCAGUAAUAUCACACGCCAGUCUCCAAACUUUCCCAGAAUCAUCAAAAUAAAUUUUCUCCAGAACAUCAUAUUUGGUAGCUCUAGUAAUGGCGCUGUGAAAAAUGCUGGCCCGAGCCCCAGCUCGCCCUGCCUCCGUCACUGCAAAUAAGUCAAUAGUAUGCCCCAUAUAGAGAAAUAUAACGAAUACAACUUGUUGCAUACGAUAAUGAAUAUGUAGUGUCAAGUUUCAAGAGCGUGUGGUCUCCUCAAAUGUAGUAUAUAAAAACAAGGCAAAAAAUUUGAAGCAAAUGAUGAACUCUUUUUUUCAAAAAAUGGCAUCAUUUGAAAUGCCCAUAAUGAGUAUCCAUCCAACCUGUCAGCUAAGUCAGCUACCAUGUUAACCUAACAAGUGCAUUUGUUGGUUCAUGAUUUAUGAAAAACAACAUCAAUACUAAUUUAUUUUUUAAGUUUGAUUGAAGGUUCCCCCAAAGCAUUACAUUUCAUGGACAUGAAAGAAUACAUGUUUUCAAGACCAAUUACUUCAAUUAACUUGCGAUGCUGCUUGGUGUAUGAGAAAAUUCAAAGAAGAUUGAGGUGUUUAAAAAAUAUAGAUUUAAGCAGGUGGUGAGAAAUCAAAGCUCAACCUCAGCCAUUGAUAGCAUAUUGAUAUGAUCCAAGGUGAGAGGACCUUUAAGUGUACAAAGGUCACGAGUUAGCAUAUGACCUUAUGUGACGAUUAGUACCAUAGUUCAUAGAAAUGACUCACAUGGACAACAACAUAUAUAAAAAUUUAAUAGCAUCCAGAUCAUCUUUCAUGAUACCCCUUCCCGCAAGAAGAUAAACUGUCAGUUUAAUAUAACCAGAUAGAUAACAUACAUAGAUGUAGUAGUAUAUGUUAUGAUUCCUAACUCAAUUAAUUUUACGAAAGUAAAGUUUCAUCAAGCAAAUGAGGGACAUUUUUACCAAAGAGAAUAAAUUAGCUUAAGUACAUUGUGUAAUAUGUUGUUGGAGGAGGAAGACCUAAUAAACCUUAUUCCAGCACCACCAACAUCUCCUCUCCUUUGCCCAUAUGUCACAACUGCAGGAUGCUGCUAAUGCGACACUACGAUCAGAGACCCUUCGAGAAACUGUGUGUGAUGCCAUAAUCGCAAAUAGUGUUGUAUGAAGGCGUGUGCGAUGCACAGCAUACGGUUCACUCAGGUGAACUGUUUGUGAUUAGGCAACACAAAAGAAAUGGGCAGCCAGAUGAAGGUGUGUGCGAUAUACAAUAUAUGGUUCACUCGGAUGAACUGUUUGUGAUUAGGCAACACAAAAGAAACAGUCAGCCAGAUAAAGGUGUGUGUGAUUGAGGGCAUACACUUCAGAAGGAUUAACUAUUUGCGAUUAGGCAACAUAACAGAAACGGGUAAGCCAGAUCAAAGUGUCUGCAAUUGAUGGCAUACACUUCACAUGGAUGAGCUAUUUGCGAUUAGCCACAACAAACUGAAACAGUUAGAUAGAUCAACGUGUGUGCGCUAGACGGGCACACCCAUUCUAAUUAAAAGACAUGUGCUGACAUUGCCUAUUGUGGUGCACCCUAUGGUGCAAAUGCCACGUACGCAGCCGAGAAGGCGUACGUGCCCAUGUUACGCCUUCCAAGAAUAGUGCCGCAAUUAUAACCAUCAGUAAAUUUUGUGCAUGCGUCCCAUCACAUUCAAAAUUGCAAACCUUUUCACACCGAUCAAAACCUAAACGGUUUCCCACUUAGGAGUGUAUUACUACGCGGUUGUAAAUACUACUACUCCAAGAUGACUACACAUUCCUCCUCAACUCCUCAUCCACAAAAAGUCAAAAACAAAAAAGUCAUUCAUCAUCGUUCCCUUGCGUCCGCCAUGGCCUGUGUGAGUUCUGGGUCGAGAGAUUGUCACCAGGGAGAGGUGAGCCUAGAAGCGUGAACACGAGAGAUGUCCCGCCUCACCGUGAUAGUAGCCAACAUGUCCUGCCGUAGGGCCGUAGCAGCAGAGAGGUCCCACCGUGCCGCUGAAGCAGCACGGAGGACCCGCUGCACCGUCGAUGCAGUAGACUGGUCCGGCCGCGCCGUGGAAGCGGAAGAGAUGUCCUGCCGCGCCACGAAUGCAGCAGAGAUGUCCUCCCUUGCCGCAGAGGCCUGGGAAAAUGCCUCGUGGGCAGGCGAGGACUCUUACAGGCGCAUGUCUGCCCUUGUCCAUAGGUAGAUGGAUCAGAUCUCCAGGGGGCGAGGUUCUAGGAUGACCUGCAAGCCUCGUUUGAACAGUCUACCGACGUCAUCCGACAACUAAAUGAGAGCAAUGCGAAGCUCCGGGCCGAGCGCGACCUGUUGAGGGCGAAGAUCGUCGGGACUGCGGAGCAGCAGGAGCAGACCACUGCCUUGUUGAAGAGGAUCGGCGUCACCGUUGAGAAACUUAUGGAUGAGAAUAACAAGCUACGCAUUGAGCGCAAAAGGCUGGUGGAGGAAUCCGUGGAUGCUCUCAAGAAGCAUCUUGAGGAGAAGAAAGAGCUCGUCGCCGCAGCAACACAUCAAGAAAGUAGAGAUGAGCGAGCCAGAUCAUUGUCUUCCUUCUUCUUUUGCCCUUGUGUAUUUCGGGCGUUGCCGCAUGUGGCUUUUUUUAAUUAUGUUUCUAAAUAUGUAAGACAAUUAUUAUCCACUGUCAUCAUCCUUAUAUUCAUCAUGCUUGCUAUCAGUCGCAGUCGAUGCUAUAUAGGUCCGUCAGAUCUUACAUCAAGAUCCGUGCAAAACUUUCUUUUUAGAUUUUCAUUUUUCUCUCUUAAAUAUCAGUCCAGUGAGACAUAUAGCCACGCCGUAGAACAGGUGAUCGGGCAACAUUAAUGGAGACGCUAGGAGGGAGGUGUGCGGCAGGUAGCGGUCAAAGGGCUCUCCUCCCAAUGAGCACGCGCAUGGGUCUGAUCGCACGCCUCCCAUACUCAAAUAGCUACCCCGCACAGCACCUCCUAGCUAGUAAAAAGGGGACAUCUGGCCGCAUGUAAUUGGUAAGUCGAACGCCCACGGUUUCAAUAAUACUUGUGUUUCCAAUUUGUAAAGUGACAACACUUGUUCCAAAAUGACUUUGUUGAUUGUUAAUGUGUGGGCCUUUGCAAAUCGUACAGAAAAAUUACCAUAGCAUCUUGGUGCCAUGUCAUGAGACCAUGCCAAGUUUCAUGAUUUUCAGGUGUGUUUUGGAAUUAUGGGAAUUAAAAAACCAAGUUUCUCAAUCUUUCCGGCCGAGGCACGAUGCCCAAAUGUUUAAAUUUCAAUCCCAUCACUUGCAUGGGAGCUAGAAAUUCACCCAAGGACACACAUGUGAUUUUUCAAACAACUCUGGUGCACUGGAGCAUGUGCUUGUAGUUUAAAUUUGAAUUAUGCACAUUAAAUGCCUAGAAACUCAAUUAUUGUAUAAAAAGGCCAAACGAACCCAGAAUAAUUCCAAAAUUUAGCACGGUACUUCUAUUUGGUCUAAUCUGGCUUUGUAAAAAAAUAAGGCGAGAGAAGGCAAUGUAUAUAUGCCCUUUCGCACACGGAGGUGACACGUUCCCUCUCGGAACCACUAGCCUUCUUGAGGGAAGCUCCAGUUUGCAAGAAGCUUACACCAAAGCUUGUCCCAAUUCGGCCAAAAAUAUUACUGCAGCAUGUUGGUGCCAUGUCAUGACACCAUGCCAAGUUUCAUGAUUUUUAGGCGUGUUUUGGAAUUACAGGAAUUAAAAAACCAAGUUUCUCAAUCUUUCCGGCCGAGCCACGAUGCCCAGAUGUUUGAAUUUCACUCCCAUCUCUUGCAUGGGACCUUGAAAUUCUCCCAAGGACACACAUGUGAUUUUUCGAACAACUUUUGUGCACUGGAGCAUGUGCUUGUAGUUCAAAUUUGAAUUAUGCACAUUAAAUGCCUAGAAACUCAAUUAAUGUAUACAAAAGGCGAAAUGAGCCUGAAAUAAUUCCAAAUUUAGCACGGUACUUAUAUUUGGUCUAAUCUGGCUGUGUAAAAAAAUUAAGGCAGGAGAAGGCAGUGCAUGUAUGUCGUUUCGCACACGGAGGUGACACGUUCCCUCUCGAAACCACGAGCCUUCUUGAGGGAAGCUCCGGUUUGCAAGAAGCUUACACCGAAGCUUGUCCCAAUUUGGCCAAAAAAAUUGCCACAGCAUGUUCGUGCCAUGUCAUGAAAACAUGCCAAGUUUCAUGAUUUUCAGGCGUGUUUUGGAAUUGCAGGAAUUAAAAAACCAAGUUUCUCAAUCGUUCCGGUCGAGCCACGAUGCCCAGAUCUUUGAAUUUUACUCCAAUCUCAUCCAUGGGACCUAGAAAUUCACCGAAGGACACACAAGUGAUUUUUCAAACAACUUUGGUGCACUGGAGCCUAUGCUUGUAGUUCAAAUUUGAAUUAUGCACAUUAAAUGCCCAGAAACUCAAUUAAUGUAUGAAAAAGGCGAAACGAGCCCGGAAUAAUUCCAACAUUUAGCAUGGUACUUCUAUUUGGUCUAAUCUGGAUGUGCAAAAAAUUAAGGCGGAAGAAGGCAGUGUACGUAUGUCGUUUCGCACACGGAGGUGACAUGUUCCCUCUCGGAACCACGAGCCUUCUUAAGGGAAGCUCCGGUUUGCAAGAAGCUUACACCAAAGCUUGUCCCAAUUCAGCCAAAAAAAUUACCGCGGCAUGUUCCUGCAUGUCAUGAGACCAUGCCAAGUUUCAUGAUUUUCAGGCAUGUUUUGGAAUUACAGGAAUUAAAAAACCAGGUUUCUCAAUCUUUCCGGCCGAGCCACGACGCCCAUACAUUUGAAUUUCACUCCCAUCUCUUGCAUGGGACCUAGAAAUUCACCCAAGGACACACAUGUGAUUUUUCAAACAACUAUGGUGCAAUGCAGCACAUGCUUGUAGUUCAAAUUUGAAUUAGGCACAUUAAAUGCCCAGAAACUCAAUUAAUGUAUAAAAAGGCCAAACGAACACGGAAUAAUUCCAAAAUUUAGCACGAUACUUCUAUUUGGUCUAAUCUGCCCGUGUAAAAAUAUUAAGGUCGGAGAAGGCAUUGUACGUAUGUCAUUUCGCACACGGAGGUGACACGUUCCCUCUCGGAACCAGGAGCUUUCUUGAGGGAAGCUCUGGUUUGCAAGAAGCUUACACCAAAGCUUGUCCCAGUUCAGCCAAAAAAAUUACUGCAGCAUGUUGGUGCCAUGUCAUGACACCAUGCCAACUUUCAUGAUUUUCAGCUGUAUUUUGGAUUUACAGGAAUUAAAAACUCAAGUUUCUCAAUCAUUCCGGCUGAGCCACAACACCCAGAUGUUUGAAUUUUAUUCCCAUUUCUUGCAUGGGACCUAUAAAUUCACCCAAGGACACAUCUGUGAUUUUCAGCAAACUUUGGUGCAUUGGAGCAUGUGCUUGUAGUUAAAAUUUGAAUUAUGCACAUUAAAUGCCCAGAAACUCAAUUAAUGCAUAAAAAUACCAAACGAACCUGGAAUAAUUCCAAAUUUAAACACGACAAUCAUGCACUAGUUGCAUGUUCACUGUAUGUAAAUGUUCUAGCAAUUCAAGCACCAUCCUUUCCCUUUGUAACACCAUUUUGUCUUUCAAAACAUAAUGAAAAACAUCAGGUAUACCACAAACAGUUUACUAGAAAGAAUCGUGUGGGAUGCGAUAUAAAAUAUCUUGGCGCACUGUCUUGUCUGUCUUACGCAGGAAGCUUCAUCAUCUACAGUCCACCACCCCCGCUUGAACCACACUUGCGCGCCAGUUUUUUGAGGCACCGAGCGAAUUUUUUUGCCACCGGGGAAAUAUCUAUCUGCCCGCCCCUCCCUCCUACCAAAAGACACAUUUCCACUGGUCCUCCUUGCUUUCCAAGUUCAAACCUUCAUUGUUGCUUAUUGGUAGCUCAGCCUCCUCGUCGGCAACCCUUCUUCUUGCAGCGCCGCCUCCUCGCCGGCUACCCUUGUUCUUGCUGCGCCGCCUCCUCACCGGCGACCCUUCUUCUUGUAGCACCGCCUCCUCGCCGGCGACCCUUCUUCUUGCUGCGCGGCCUCCUCGCCACCGACCCUUCUUCUUGCUGUGCGGCCCCGUCGAUAUAGUCAGGUAAUCCACACCCCACCCACACCAUCCUCCUCCUUUCCCUUGCCACAUGCCCCAACAGAUGGAGCAACACCUUCCACCCUAAUCACUGCCCCCUCCUCCAAUUAAGCGCCGCCCACACCCAUUUUACGCGUAGUAUAAUGUGGAGCUGAGUAGCAUGCAGUCGCAUGCCCGGACGAGGUCACUAUGGCUGACAUGCGUGUCGACUGCCAGAUCUUGGAGGAGCACCUCGUCUUUGAGGCCACCAUCGACACCGCCGCGCGGUUGUCUACUUUAAAAUACAGUUUGUGAUGUUUUCUCGAGGCCACCGCCAGUGCCUUCUAGUGAUUUGUCCUCUGUAAUGUUAAUAUGCAAUAUGAUGUUUAGUUAAUAGUUUGGUCCUCUGAAAUGUAAUGUUCAGUUAACACUUUGGUCCAACAACUGCUACAUUUCAUAGUACUAUUCUCAAGCAUUCUUUGUUUUGUUAACUGUCUUAUCUUCUUGUACAUGUUCCUAUUCUACAAUGUCGUGCUUAGUUAACUAUUUUGGUUCAUUUGGUCUACUGUCCAUUUAACUGUUUGGUUCAGUUCUAUAAUUUGAUUUUCAUUUGCUGUGGGUACAAUUUUGUAUUGUUAUGCAUGUGACACCAAUCGAAUUUGGCUGUACUCAAUACAUGUUCUACUAAUAGUAUGGCAACUCUCAGUUAACCUGAUCAAGAUCUUCGUUAUGUGUGUUGUAGGGAAACAAUGGGAGACACUGCGGUUUACCAUCGAGGUUUGUUCAAGCAGGGUCCUUUGGCUAAUAGUACAUUAUUGUGCAGUUACAGGAAUCAUUCUAAUAUUCAGGUUUCUUACAAUUUGGUCUUGCACAUGUAGGUCCUACUGUCAGAGGCUUAGACCCACUAUUCGACCCAUUUUGCAUAUGGGGAAAUGAGAUGUCCAUGAAUAUCAGUCAAGUCAAGAAACUCAAAAAGAUUGUUAGGAUGAAGAAACUUGCGACGAAUAACAGCAAGAUCUUUGUUUUCACAAUGAAGAAUACAUCAGUCGACUAUAGGAUGGUACCAACUCUUUUACCUUGUUUUUACCCCUUGCACCAUUUCAAAAUUUACAACAACGAUUUAUGCAUAGCUUUGUUUUCAGUACAUUUCAAAGCAGUUCACCGAUUAUUACCUCUCAAACCACCUGCAUGGUCAAGAGGUGAGGAAGGUAUUCAUUCAACACCCAUGGUACAAUAUUGAAGUCUUGCUGACGAAGGUUGGGCGGGCAAUUAUCCAUAGCCACUAGCCUAAAGUUGCAAGGACAUUCAACAUCACUGAAGGUUCAAUAUUUGCCUUCCGCUUCUGCAGUUUCCCAAAUGAGAUUCAUCUGUCUAUUUACCGUGUAUGAUGCUACUUUCCAAAGGUUUCUUAUGCUGCAUGUGAAACUUGGUGCUGUUGUGUAAUGGCAUAACUGAGUGCCGAAGCUAUCUGAUGUAAAUCGAUUAUGAAAUCCUGGUUGCUUUUACAUAGAUAUGAAAUAUCUGGCGUGUUUUAUAAGAAAUAUCAGUUUAAUUAGUACAUGUAUUAUCAAUAAUAGUCUAAUUACCCUCCUUAUUGGGGUUUCUAUUGCAAACGGUUGCUCAGACAGCACCGUGGGCGAUGAACUCAAACAACCCGCACGGUUUCUAGAAAGUAGGCGUGUUCGAUCAACUAACAAUCACACAUGGCUUUUGAUAGCGAACUGUUUGCGUUAGGCCACCUUGCACACACGUUUCCAGACAGAGAACUGUGUGGGAUGUACAUACCUACCGAAAUGAUUUUCUGGGAUUCGCCGUGUGGGAUGUACAUACCUACGGAAAUGAUUUCUAGGAUUCACCAUGUGGGAUGAACAUACCUAUGUGAAAUGAUUUCUGGGAUUCACCGUGUGGGGUGUACAUACCUACGGAAAUGAUUUCUGAAAUUCACCGUGUGGGAUGUACAUACCUACGGAAAUGAUUUCUGGAUUUCACCGUGUGGGAUGUACAUAUGUACAGAAAUGAUUGGGUUUCCAUGCCUCGCCAGAUCGCACAUGGACCCAGCCUGGGUCCCACAAGAGCCUAUCCCCGACGAUUUCUGGGUCGUGUGGGAAGGACCCGCCCUAUCGCCCACACUCACUUGGUGACGGUUCCAAAUGCCGUCGCAAAAAGGGGUUUUAAACCAUUUGUUUAGGACGUCGUUGUACCAGUGUGUGCUCCUAGCGUGAACUCGUGGUCGAUGAUGGCUCCAGCCGCCCCCGGUUAACCAGCCGCCAUGUGACAUCAGCUCAUCAAUCCAUCAUGGUCCGAUAUGCUAGGCACAUGCCUACGCUUCUCGCCGUCCAGGCCCCAAAGCUGAAUCAGAAGUUCACAACAGAAUUAAAUGUUUGCAUUUCCUCUUGUUUCCAAAACAAGCAGAGUUCUUUGUAUUAAGCAAGAUAGAUCAAUAGCAGACAUAAUUCUAACUGGAAAAAGUUGUACAUGGUCCUCAUGCCCACUGCAUGUAUCCAAUAAGUUUAACUAAUGGGAAACAUUUUAUGAGGAAACAAAGGCUUUUCCUAUCAACAUCUCAGCAAAUAUUCAACCAAUGCUCCAAAAAAAUGUCAAUGGCAGAUCUACAUUGCAUUUCAGGGUGAACAAAAAUCCAAAAUAGAUUAAGAACAUGCGUCUAUAUUACUAUUCAUAAAAAGUUUAUAAAUUGACAAAAAGUGGAACCAGCAUGAAAAGAAUAGGUGCAAGAUACAUCUCCAACGUAUCUAUAAUUUUUUAUUGUUACAUGCUAUAUUAUAUCCUGUUUUGGACAUUAUUCGACUUUAUUAUACACUUUUAUAUUAUUUUUGGGACUAACCUAUUAACCGGAGGCCCAGCCCAGAAUUGUUCUUUUUUGCCUAUUUUAGAGUUUCUAGAAAAGGAAUAUCAAAAGGAGUCCAAACGGAAUGAAACCUCCGGGAACGUGAUUUUCGGAACGAACAUCAUCCAGAGGACUUGGACCCUACGUCAAGAAAGCAACCAGGAGGGCAUGAGGUAGGAGGGCGUGCCUACCCCCCCCCCAGUCGCGCCCUCCACUCUCAUGGGGACCACGUUGCUCCACCGAUGUACUUAUUCCACCUAUAUAUACCUAUGUACCCCCAAACUACCAGAUACGGAGCCAAAACCCUAAUUCCACUGCCGCAACUUUCUGUAUCCGUGAGAUCCCAUCUUGGGGCCUUUUACAUCACGGAGGGCUUCUACAUCAACACCAUAGCCUCUCUGAUGAAGUGUGAGUAGUUUACUUCAGACCUUCGGGUCCAUAGUUAUUAGCUAGAUGGCUUCUUCUCUCUUUUUGGAUCUCAAUACAAAGUUCUCCCCCUCUCUUGUGGAGAUCUAUUCGUUGUAAUCUUCUUUUGCGGUGUGUUUGUUGAUAUGAUGAAUUGUGGGUUUAUGAUCAAGUUUAUCUAUGACCAAUAUUUGAAUCUUCUCCGAAUUCUUUUAUGUAUGAUUGGUUAUCUUUGCAAGUCUCUUUGAAUUAUCAGUUUGGUUUGGCCUACUAGAUUGAUCUUUCUUGCAAUGGGAGAAGUACUUAGCUUUGGGUUCAAUCUUGCGGUGUCCUUUCCCAGUGACAGUAGGGGCAGCAAGGCACGUAUUGUAUUGUUGCCAUCGAGGAUAACAAGAUGGGGUUUAUUUCAUAUUGCAUGAAUUUAUCCCUCUACAUCAUGUCAUCUUGCUUAAAGCGUUACUCUGUUCUUUUGAACUUAAAACUCUAGAUGCAUGCUGGAUAGAGGUCGAUGUGUGGAGUAAUAGUAGUAGAUGCAGGCAGGAGUCGGUAUACUUGUCUCAGAUGUGAUGCCUAUAUGCAUGAUCAUACCUAGAUAUUCUCAUAACUAAGCUCAAUUCUGUUAAUUGCUCAACAGUAAUUUGUUUACCCACAGUAAUAGUUAUGCUCUCGAGAGAAGCCACUAGUGAAACCUAUGGCCCCCGGGUCUAUUUUCCAUCAUAUUAAUCUUCCGUGAACAAGCUAUUUCCUUUUCCGUUUAUUUUGCUUUCUUUACUUUGCAUCUUUAUCCUAAAAAUACCAAAAAUAUUAUCUUAUCAUAUCUAUCAGAUCUCACUUUCGUAAGUGACCGUGAAGGGAUUGAUAACCCCUUUAUUGCGUUGGUUGCGAGGAUUUUAUUUGUUUGUGUAGGUGUGAGGGACACGUGCGUGGCCUCCUACUGGAUUGAUACCUUGGUUCUCAAAAACUAAGGGAAAUACUUACGCUACUUUGCUGCAUCACCCUUUCCUCUUCAAGGGAAACCAACGCAGUGCUCAAGAGGUAGCAGUGCAUAAUGCAUUUCAAUUUUUACAGAUGAGAUGUUGUAGGUGUGCUGACAGGCCAUCCUAUAGAGGAGAUGCCCGGUUCUACGGGUGACCUUCUUCCCGAGCUCUCGCAACUGCUCGAUCGAGUUCAGCAGGCGAUGCGAGGUGUCGCCCAGGCCCUGUGGCCAUCCGUCUCCAUGCCCGAAGGUCUUGGAGAGCUUGCGGAGAAGCUAAAAGGAGCACGGCGGUGCUUCCGAUUGUGGAAGAUAUCAGCCUGCUGUCAAGGCGCUAGGGAGGCCUGGGCCAUGGUGAAGACACGGUACACAAAGGCUGACCCCAACCACAUGGCCGAGGUCGGUCCUAUAGGGCCCGAUGGGAAGGAGAUCCCUGUAAGAUUAGUAUACGGCCAAGUAGAGUUGGCCCCAAAGUAUUCCCAGCAGGACUGUAAAUUAGACAACCUAUUAGAUGGUAUUGAAGAGGAAUACGAUCAGUCAAAAUGACUAUGUAAUUUAGUUGACAUUUAUAAUGCCUUCUAGCCGGAUUGUAGACCAUUUGUCAUGGCCGACCUUUUCGCUUCAGCUUCGGGACCUGACGGUCCGGAGUGUGUCCGAAUUCCCAUGCGGUUAUAUAGGAACCGGUGAAUGCAUGGAGACCAGUCGUAGGGGUCAUUAGUGCGUGAACAGACAAGUGCCCGACUAGUUAUGUUAUAUUACAUGUUAGUAAGAAACAUCUUCCAGGGAGAAUAGUUCCGUUAGGGGUUCCUUUCCCUGGGAGGCAUGUUCUAAGGUGCAUGUCCAUGCUGCGAAAAGAAGCGCAGGAAAAACAUCUGGGGGCGUAUAGAUAAAAAUAAAAAAGAUCAUCUUUAGUUCACCGACCGAAUAUUCCCUUAAGAACGCUAGCUUUCGGCUUCACCCAGUCUGUGGUACACGUCCGGCUGACCCGGCAGUAACAAUCGCAGAGGUGCUCCCUUUACCACCUAGCCGAACAAUCAGGAAUGUAGGGGUAAGCACAGGAGCCAGGCAAUCCAGCUUGGCCAAAACUUAAGUCAUAUCGAUGCAUAUAAUGGUGAAUAAAAGGUACAUGCGGAAGUGUGACGCAUGUGUUGGGCAUGAAGCCCGUAUGAAUAAGCUUCUGUUUAAAGAAGCCCCCUGGUUUAAUGAGCGCGGAUGGCGCGUCACUUUAUGAGCCUUUAAGGGCUAUAAGAGAGAGAGAGAGAGAGAGAGAGAGAAGAAGAAUAAGAGAAAUGCAAGACAGAAAAUAUAUUAAAAAUGGACAGAGGAAGGAGACGAACAUAGAGUCCGGCGCUAGGCAUAGAAUCUUCGGAGACGGGCUGCAUUCCAUGGGUUCGGCUCGAGUCGGUUAUCCGAUGCAUCUCACGGGCGGUACGUUCCACCAGUCAGGACUUGGUCAAUUAUGAAGGGACGUUCCCACUUGGGCUUGAGUUUGUCCUUUUUCUUGUCCGGUAGUCGUAGAACUAAUUCGCCAACGUUGUAAUUUUUGGCCCGUACUUCUCUGCUUUGGUAUCUUCGAGCCUGUUGUUGAUAGAAUGCGGAACAGGCUUUUGCCACGUCACGCAACUCCUCCAAUGCAUCUAAGCUGUCCUGCCGAUCGAGUUCGGCUUCUCUUUCUUCGUACAUGCGCACUCGAGGUGAGUCAUGAAUUAUGUCACAGGGCAAAACUGCCUCUGCGCCGUACACCAUAAAGAAUGGUGUGUAUCCAAUGAUGCGAUUCGGCGUGGUCCGCAGCCCCCAAAGUACGGAGUCAAGCUCCUCUACCCAGUGCGUGUUAGAUUCCUUGAGGGACCGCACUAAUCUGGGUUUAAUGCCGCUCAUGAUAAGACCAUUUGCAUGUUCGACCUGGCCGUUAGUUUGUGGGUGAUAGACAGAAGCAUAGUCGAGCUUGAUGCCCAUGUUUUUGCACCAGAGUUUUACCUCGUUAGCUGUGAAGUUCGUGCCGUUAUCAGUGAUGAUGCUGUGGGGAAUGCCGUAAUGGUGUACGACCCCGGAUAUAAAGUCUAUCACCGGUCUGGAUUCGGCCGUCUUAACAGGCUUGGCUUCUAUCCAUUUGGUGAAUUUAUCCACCAUGACCAGUAAGUAUUUUUGCUUGUGGGUGCCGCCUUUAAGGGGUCCAACCAUGUCAAGCCCCCAGACCGCGAAGGGCCAAGUAAUGGGGAUAGUUCGGAGGGCGGUGGGUGGCAUAUGGCUUUGGCUUGCAAAGAGCUGGCAACCGGUGCAUCGUUGGACUAAGUCCUGAGCGUCUGCCCGGGCCGUCGGCCAAUAAAAGCCUCUACGGAAGGCCUUACUUACAAGGAAUCGAGCUGCAGCGUGAUGACCGCCCAGUCCGGCAUGAAUUUCAGCCAGGAGGUUCUGCCCCUCCUCUUCGGAGAUGCACCUUUGAAGGACUCUGGUAGUGCUUUUCUUAUAAAGCUCUCCCUCAUGGACUCUGUAGGCUUUGGAUCGCCGCACUAUGCAGCGUGCCUCAUUUUGGUCCUCGGGGAGUUCCUGCCUAGUGAGGUAGGCGAGGAAUGGUUCUGUCCACGGGGCGAUGACAGCCAUUAUUACGUGGGCUGAAGGUGUUGUUUCAUUGGCAGAGCCUCCGAUUGUGUCAGAAUGUUCAGUGUCGGGCAGUGCGGUUGGGUCCGGGGUGUUAUUGUUCGGCUCCCCUUCCCAUACUACGGAUGGCUUGAACAACCUUUCCAAGAAGAUUUUGGGGGGGACUACAUCGCGUUCUGCGCCGAUGCGUGCCAGGACAUCUGCCAUCUGAUUAUUUUCCCGGGCUAUAUGGUGAAAUUCAAGCCCCUCGAACCGAGCUGACAUUUUUAGGACGGCGUUGUGGUAAGCUGCCAUUUUUGGAUCCUUGGCAUCGAAGUCUCCAUUUAUUUGGGAUAUUGCGAGGUUCGAGUCCCCACGCACCUCUAGGCGUUGAAUGCCCAUGGAUACUGCCAUCCGGAGACCAUGUAAAAGGGCCUCAUAUUCGGCUGCGUUGUUGGAGUCCAUGUACAUAAUCUGGAGUACGUAUUGAACUGUGUCUCCUAUGGGGGACGUCAAAACGACGCCAGCCCCCAGUCCGGCCAACAUCUUGGAGCCGUCGAAAUGCAUGAUCCAAUUUGAAUAUGUGCCAUACUGUUUAGGGAGUUCGGCCUCCGUCCAUUCUGCGACGAAGUCGGCCAAGCCUUGCGACUUGAGGGCUUGUCGUGGCUUAUAAGUUAUGUCGAACGGGAGGAGCUCAAUGGCCCAUUUUGCAAUCCGGCCCGUUGCAUCACGGUUGUUUAUAAUAUCGUUAAGUGGUACUUUCGAGGCUACUAUUAUUGAACACUCUUGAAAGUAGUGUCGUAGCUUCCGGGAUGCCAUGAAUACCGCGUACGCGAUCUUUUGAUAAUGCGGGUACCGUGAUUUGCAAGGAGUGAGGACAGUGGACACAUAAUAGACCGGCUUUUGAAGGGGGAAUCUGUGUCCGUCCGCUUCUCGUUCGACGACGAGCACUGCGCUUACAACCUGAUGUAUUGCUGCAAUGUAUAAUAGCAUUGGUUCGCCAAUAUUUGGUGCGGCCAGGACUGGGUUUGUUGCAAGUAUGGCUUUUAUCUCCUCGAGUCCGGCCGUGGCUGCAUCCGUCCAUUCGAAGUGUUCGGUGCGCCGAAGGAGGUGGUAAAGGGGUAGGGCCUUUUCUCCCAAGCGGGAGAUAAAGCGGCUUAGAGCCGCCACGCAUCGGUUAACUUUUGUAUUUGUUUGAGGUCCUUUGGGAUAUCCAGUUGCGACAGAGCUUGGAUCUUGGCUGGGUUUGCUUCGAUUCCUCUACCGGAUACAAUGAAGCCCAAUAGCUUUCCGGCUGGAACGCUGAAAACGCAUUUUUCCGGGUUGAGCUUGAUGUCGAAUGUUCGGAGGUUAUCAAAUGUGACCAUCAAGUCAUCUACUAGAGAUUUGACAUGUCUUGUUUUGACGACCACAUCAUCUACAUAUGCCUCCACUGUUUUGCCGAUCUGGCUUGCCAGACAUGUCUGAAUCAUGCGCUGAUAUGUUGCGCCGGUGUUUCUGAGCCCGAAGGGCAUUGUGUUGAAACAGAAUGGGUCGUAUGGUGUGAUAAAUGCCGUUGCGGAUUGGUCAGAUUCUGCCAUCUUGAUUUGAUGGUAACCGGAAUAUGCGUCGAGGAAACACAACAAAUCAUGUCCUGCGGUAGCGUCAAUAAUUUGAUCGAUGUGGGGGAGGGGGAAGGGGUCCUUUGGGCAAGCCUUGUUAAGGUCUUUAAAAUCAACGUACAGGCACCAGGAUUUGUCCUUCUUUGGUACCAUCACCAGGUUUGCUAGCCAGUCCGGAUGUUUUAUAUCUCUGAUGAAUCCGGGCUCCAAUAGCUUUGCUAGCUCCUCUCCCAUAGCCUGUCUCUUAGGUUCAGAAAAAUGCGGAAGAGCCUGUUUGACAGGUUUGAAUCCUGUUUGGAUAUUUAAGCUGUGCUCGGCCAGCCUGCGUGGGAUUCCUGGCAUGUAUGAAGGGUGCCAGGCGAAAAUGUCCCAGUUUUCUCGUAGGAACUCUCGUAGUGCAGCGUCUACAUCAGGGUUUAACUGUGCCCCGAUGGAAGCUGUUUUAUUUGGGUCCGUUGGAUGGACUUGGAAUUUGACUAUUUCGUCCACCGAUUUAAAGGAUGUGGACUUGGAUCUUUUGUCGAGUACCACAUCAUCCCUAUUCACCGUAGAGCAUAGCGCAGUCAGUUCCUCAGCCGCUAGGGCUUCGGAUAGUGCCUCGAGGGCCAGUGCGGCUGUCUUGUUUUCGGCGCGGAGUGCUAUGUCCGGAUCACUAGCGAGAGUGAUGAUCCCAUUGGGCCCGGUCAUUUUGAGAUUCAUGUACCCGUAAUGGGGUAUUGCUUGGAAGAUUGUAAAUGAUUCCCGCCCUAGCAGAGCGUGAUAAACGCAGCUGAACGGAGCCACAUGGAACGUGAUCUCUUCGGACCUGUAAUUAUCUGGCAUGCCGAACACCACAUCUAGUGUGAUUUUUCCUGUACAGAGCGCUUCCCGACUGGGGAUUAUUCCUCUAAAGGUUGUGCUGCUUCGCUCAAUGCGGUUCCAGUCUAUUUCCAUUUUUUGAAGGGUUUCCUCGUAAAUGAGGUUCAAUCCGCUGCCGCCGUCCAUGAGUACCUUGGUAAGACGAAAGCCGUCCACUAUUGGGCUGAGGACCAAUGCGGCUGGUGCUCGGGCUGUUCGGAAUUUAGGUUCAUCACUGGCGUUAAAGGUAAUAGCCGUGUCACUCCAUGGGUUUAUUGUUGCUUCUUGGUAGACUUCGUCAAGGCCGCGGAGUGUCCUUUUUUUCUUAUUAUUUGAUGCGAAAGUCUCGAAGACUGUUAAUACCGUAUGGUUGUCUCUGGGGUGGCUUUCUGUGGCCACCGGAAUUAGGAGGUUUUCGCCAAUUUUGGCCACCUGCCGGAGUAUCCAACAUGCUCUAAGGCUGUGAGUUGGUGUGGCGUCCUCUGUACUGUGAAUUUUACAGGGUCCGUUAAGCCAUCCUUCCAGUACGGUUCCAUGCCCUAUAGAGGGUUUUUGCUUUUUGGUGUUUGACCUGGGUGUCUGGUUAUGCUACACCCUUUUAUUUCAGACUGGGUUUGUAUUUAGGGCCGGAUUGUCCCAAAAUUUUAUUUUGGUUUUCCAGGCACUUUCCAUCGCAUAAUACUUUUGUACAAUGGACGCGAAGUCAGCGAAGCGUGUGAUAUCACGGCGACUUAUGGCGUUGAGUAUUCCCUUGUCCGUGCAAUUAUUGCAGAAGAUUAAGAUUGCGUCUUCCUCGCGGAAGUCCCUUAGCCUGUUCUUAACCAGGAGGAAUCUAGCCCAGUAAUGAUGUACUAUUUCGUCAGGCUCUUGCCUGAUUUUGGAUAGAUCGCUUAUGUUGGGGUGGGUGGGUGGAGUUAAAUCCGAAGCCUCACCCCGUUUGAGGCUCAGAGGCCGAGGAAUUUCUGAACUCGAAAAUUUGGAUCCCUAGGUGUUGUCCAUUGAAUCCAGCCCGUCGCCUGACUCUAAGUUCAGGUCUUGAGUGAUAUCCUCCCCUCCACGGGUAUCCGGCUUGGAGGGAUCGGGAAUCCGGACGUAGCGAGUCCUUAAGAUAGACGAAGGGUCGCCGCACUGUCCCUCCACCUCGACAACGUGAUGGGUGACUUGGGGAGAGUUAAUCUCUCUCAGAUCGGUUUUAGGCCCAAUCUGGUCAUAAUCCGUAGCGACUCCCAGGGCAGCGAAGCGAUCCAAGAGCUCAUUUAUAGAAGAAAGCUCCAUUGGAUCUAACUGCUCGGCGAGUUCCGAAAUGACAUGAAGAUUAUUUUCGAUGGCUCGAGAGGUCAUCGUCGGCGCAAAAUCCGAACAGGCGAUCAUAAGAAAACCACCUAGCCGGAGGGUUUGGCCGACAGCCAAAGCUCCCUUAGCAACGGUGCCGUCUUUAAAGACGGGGCGAGGCAUCCUUCCUAAUGGCGACGACACAGAGGAACUCUCAAUGAAAGCACCAAUGUCGGUGUCAAAACCGGCGGAUCUCGGGUAGGGGGUCCUGAACUGUGCGUCUAGGUCAGAUGGUAACAGGAGGCAAGGGACACGAAGUUUUACCCAGGUUCGGGCCCUCUCGAUGGAGGUAAAACCCUACGUCCAGCUUGAUUAAUAUUGAUGAUAUGGGUAGUACAAGAGUAGAUCUACCACGAGAUCAGAGAGGCUAAACCCUAGAAGCUAGCCUAUGGUAUGAUUGUUGAUGUGUAUGUUGUCCUGCGGACUAAAACCCUCUGGUUUAUAUAGACACCGGAUAGGGUUAGGUUUACAUAGAGUCGGUUACAAUGGUAGGAGAUCUAAAUAUCCGUAUCGCCAAGCUUGCCUUCCACGCCAAGGAAAGUCCCUUCCGGACACGGGACGAAGUCUUCAAUCUUGUAUCUUCAUAGUCCUGGAGUCCGGCUGAAGGUAUAGUCCGGCCAUCCGGACACCCCCUAAUCCAGGACUCCCUCAGGCCCCAACAGCCUGCGGCCCCGCUUGAUGCGUGGCGAUUGAUUGGACGUGGGUGGCCCUGCUUCCCCAUGCAGCCUUGUUAUCCAGCUGGCUAGGCGGCCACGGCGUCCCACACAGUUAUUACCCCAUUGCUGGUAACGCGCUCCCCGACUCCUCCGCUUCUUCGAAGCUCAUCUUCCUCUCCCAAUCCGACCUGAGCUCGGUCCUCUCCAUCACCAUGGCGCCGAACCGAACGGAGAAAGGGAAGAAGCCCCUGUCCUCAUCCAGCCAGCCUCUGGCCGUUGAGCCCGCCGUCGACCGAUCGCGGGUGCUCAAUCAGGAGGCCAUGGACAAAGUCCGCCCUGCACUCACCACUAGCUUCAACGAAUGGGGAGGGAUGAUGGCCUGGCUUGCGUCCCGAGCUUCUAUCGAUAGAACGGCCACCGAGGUCCAAUUCUUCAUUGAUGCCCUAUGGGCCGGCUUGGUCCCUCCCUUCUCCGCCUUCUUCAACGUCGUGCUUUCCCACUACCAGAUUCAUAUGCUGCACCUAGAUCCCCAAUCUGUCGCUCUUCUUGCCGUCUUUUCCUUUGUCUGCGAGGCCAUGGUGGGCAUCGCCCCCUCCGUAGCCCUUCUGCGCCAUUUCUUCUCGCUGCACCUGACCGACCCCAGGCAAUGCUCGGGGUGCCUGAGCUUCCAGGCCGUGGCAGCGACGGCCGGCUCGGGGAUUGACUUUGAACUCCCACCAUCUGCGAGCGGGUUCCAGACGCAAUGGUUGUAUGUGCACGUCGUAGCGCUCAAUCCUUUGCUCUUGCCUCCGUCGGCGCCAGCCGUCCCCAGCUCCGAUUGGGCUCAUCAGAAGCUUACGAUCCCCUUCCUCGCCUUUGUCUGGCUCUGGUUGAAGAGGUUGAAAGACCUUGGCUUGACCGCGCCCAUGGUGAUGAAGUAUUUCCUCCAACGCCGCGUCGCCCCACUCCGGUGCCAUUCCUAGCUGAUGUGGGACCUGUCAGUCGGCCAGGAUCGCAUGAGGCUUCAGGAGUCAGGGCUUCCACUAGAGGCACGAAGAAUGAUGCUCGAGGUCCUGGCCGGCGACCCCUCGCCAGCCGAUAUGCCACUGGAGGGAUGUGUCUUGUACUGGUGCUCAAACAAGGUGGAGUUCGCGGGGCAGAUGCCCCCCUUUGACGAAUGGGGGCUGCGUUCGGUCGACAUUGAGGGGUCCCGCGAGAACCCCGUCACCGUGGUUCCCCUCCUUGUCGCCGGCGCCGAACUUGCCCCAAGAGUGGACGCAGGGGGCAAGCACCAUUGGAGGCCGGAGGCGCGGGUGCCGAGGUGUCGACACCGCCCGUGGCUCCUAUGGUGCCAUCUUGGGGAGCCCAUGACACUCGCUCUGGGGUGGCAGUUGAGGGGGUGACGCAAUCCACUGCUCCUAAGGUCGAAGCUCCCAAGGCCUCAGGAGGUCAUCGCGAGGCGAAACACGAUGGCUCUCCCCAUCUGGGCGCUACUGAGGUCGCCUCCUCGGGCGCUUCACCAGCCACGCCCUACGCUGGUCGCCACAUCCAACACUUCGGCCAGCUCCGUGUAGACUUCGAUGUGGUCCGCAAAAGGAAGGGGUCCCCAAGCUGCAGCAGCGGCGCCUUCCGGGCAUUGAAACAGAGGAAGUACAUUGCCAUAGAUGAGUAAGUACCUUAUCUUUGUAAUUCCUCAAGUGUCGCUUCCCUUCCUGAUGGUGGCUCUUCAGGAUCCCAUCUACUAAGGCCGCGAAGCCCCCUGAGAAGCAACCUCCUCCUGCCUCAAAUCUCCCGCUGGCCUUGAGCGUCCCAAGCCAGCAUGCUGCCCCCGGCGCGAGGUCAGCCGGUGAGGCAGACACGCUAGCUUGGCGCCUCGAGCCCGCGCUCCUGCCUUCUCUUCUUCGUGGCCUCUCCAGGGGUGUGACGAGCGUGCCAAGGGCUCCUCCUCUGGUUGUAGACGGCGGCUGGAUGACUUCAGUCUUGGUUUCUUCUUCGAGUAGCGAGCCUCAACUCAACCGGGUUCCCACCGAAGCCCAGUCGGCGACCGAGGGGGCGGCAGCCCCCAGCCCCCUGAGGAAGGGGAGCGAGUAGCUUCGGAUCCCGUCAGCAACCACCGCUGUGGAGGACGGAAUCGGCCGCGCGCUCAAGUUUGCACACGAACGGAGUGUCAUCCGCCACGAGCUCUUUUGGGAGGCGAUGGGUGCAAUGAUCCGGCUUGGUGAAGAACUCAUGGAUGUACACGCGAGCCUCGAGGCCGAGGGUCUUCGGCUGAUGGAGGAGCGGUAUAAGCUGAAGGUGGCCAUAAACCUCGGGCGCCACCAGCGCGAGCUUGAUAAUGCGAAGGCCGAGGCAUCUCUUGCGACCUCGUGUGAUGCCUGCGCUUGAGCCUUGGAAGAAGCCCAGGAAGCCAAUCGCCACCGCGAGAUCCCAGAGAAAUGUGUGUGGGAGCUCCAAGCCUGGAGUGCCUCCUUGGAGAAGCAGGUGGAGGCGAGCAAGGCCGCCCUAGUGUCGAUGAAGGGGGCGCAUGCCGAGGAGGAAGAGAUCCUGAAGCGCGAGGAAGCGCUGGUGCUAGAAGCUAUGGAGCGCAGCCUUGAGCUUGAGCGGUUGGAGACGAGGGAGCGCCAAAUCUCCCAGGCGGAGGAUGUUGUCGGCGCGUGCGAGUCCAAGGCCCAGGAGGAGGCCGAUCAUCGGCUGGGCGAGGCUCGCGUGGAUCUUGUGGGCAGGUACGACCUGAAGCUAAAGCUCGUGGAAGCCGAAGCUGUGGGCAGGACUACUGCCCUCAAGUCAGGUUUGGCUAAGGCGGGACAGUGCCGAGCUGCUUUCUCUUCAACAGUAGGUCGCUAGCCGAGUCGUUCGCGUAGCAGAGCAGGGAGGAAGCGCUCCGGCGGAGGAUACUGGAGCGCGAGCACGCCCAUGCUCCAAAGCCGCAGGAUUAGAGCCAACGCGGCGCUGGGUGCCAUCUGCGAUGAAGAUGCCCCUCAUCCCCACUUGAACGACUACGCCAGUCACCCCCUCUUCUUCACCGACGUGGUUAAAUGCCUGGAGAAUCGAUCCGAGAGGGCUCAUGAGCUUGUUGAAGAGAGGAUCUGUGGCCUGCUCAGGCGCGCUUUCUCCCGCGUCUUCAGCCACCUCCAGAACACCUACCCCAACUUCGAUUUUGACGCCACCAUUGCCCCUAUGCCUGAGGCCAUCCGGGGCGACCUGGCACACUGGGUAGAAGACAAUGUGGAUGCUCUAGUCAGGGCCUUCUCCUCCGAGGUCGACGCGGUGGUGGUCGUCGCGGAUGAAGGUGACAUGGUUGACGAUGGUUUGGGAGACGCCGGCAAUGGUGAUGUUGAUGCCGGACAUGAUGACAGUGAUGCCAGCGAUGGUUACGGCGACGCCAGCGACGCGUCUGAGGGUGACCCGGAGGACGCGGUGAGCGAUAUGUCUGAUUUGGACCGUGCUUCCUUGUCAUUGACCAUGCAUGUGAAAGCUCGGGCACGGCCCUGAAAGUUGUAAGAGCAUUUUGGGAGCGGGAGCCCCUCAAGUAAACAGAUUACUGCCUCUAUUCCUUAGGCCGAGGUGGAGACGUGUUUUUAUGAGCUCGCGAGUCUCGCCGCGAGCUUACUGCUGCAGUUUACCUUAGUCAGGGCCAGUUCCCGACCGACUCGUGAGGUCGUGAGCUUCCGAGGGGCCUGCCGAUCCAUCCAAGAGGCCCUCGCGAGAAGCAAGAGCCAGCCAUGGAAGGACGUGCGCGCGACACCUAGCCCCCACUCGCGAGGGUCUCGUGAGGGGGGAGGCAGUAGGUGCGAACUCCGAAUCAAGGCAAGGAACCGGAUUGCAAGAAAUCACACNNNNNNNNNNNNNNNNNNNNNNNNNNNNNNNNNNNNNNNNNNNNNNNNNNNNNNNNNNNNNNNNNNNNNNNNNNNNNNNNNNNNNNNNNNNNNNNNNNNNNNNNNNNNNNNNNNNNNNNNNNNNNNNNNNNNNNNNNNNNNNNNNNNNNNNNNNNNNNNNNNNNNNNNNNNNNNNNNNNNNNNNNNNNNNNNNNNNNNNNNNNNNNNNNNNNNNNNNNNNNGGCUACAGAAAAGAGAUUAAAAGCAAAUGCAUGCGUCCGGUGCCUAGUCUAGUCUUCUUGUCUUCUCACCAGCGCGGACCUAAGUGCUGCCACUACGACGUGGGAGGGAGCCCCCGAGGCCCGAGGGUGGCACUUCUGAGACUCCCGGGCAUGUACAGCCCCACUCAUUAUUAUAUGAGAGUGUCACGGUCGAAGAUCUUCACAGGCGCGAGCCUUACUUCAUAUCGCCGGAUGAGGGCCCCGCCUUGCGCCACCCUCGACCACCAUUGGUGCGUCUGAAAACCAGGACGAAGCCAAGGGGCAAAGGGGACGCCAGUAGCGCCCUCAGCGACCAUGAGUCCUCUGUCAGGGGAAGGCUCACCAGCACCUCCCCAGCAGAGGGCCUACCUCCGGGGGAUGCCCUUCUCUGCGUGAUGCGGGGAGGGACCUUGCUCCUGGCUCCUUCCUUAGAGCCCACAGUGCGCUCCUCCUAGUGGAAGGGAGGCCGCUGAGCUAGGGCCACCAUCCGCCGCUGUGACCUGAUCCUCCUGCGACCCAUGGUUAGCGUAAGCUUGCUCCUAAGAGAUUAGUGGUACCCUAUAGCUGUUGUCACCGUCUUGGUUGGCAAGGCUCCCGGGGGGCUCCUAGAAGGCCUCAGCUUCUAGCGCCUCCUCCUCCCAGCCUGGCUCGAGGAAUGAGCCAGGGUCGUCUUCCAGCGCAUACUCCUGGUCCAUCAUGCAGGGCACGUAGGCCUCCGAGGCCGUCACCUCGAAGACCUCGCCGAAGUGCCCCAAGCUCCACAUUGCCAGGCCUAGCGUGCUGCCCUAAGGAUGGUAGGGCGGCACUUCGCUGGGGCCGCGGGUGGCAACGCUUGUGCCCGCGCUCAUCGGAGGUGGUGUGGGCGCGAUUGGGCGUCUGGUGCUGCUAGUCGCGCCGGUGUCGAUGAAACCUCCUGGCCCGCCCAGGGGCACGCGGGCACGGCGAGCCCCACCAUGCGAUCAGGCCAUGGCCUGAGGCGUAAGCAGGGAGCAGAAGGGCGGUGCUCCUAAGGCUGUGGCGUCCAGUAGCUAGGGGACGCGCUCCAGCAAUGCAUCCCGGCCGCACUCCAUCAGCCGACAUCAUAGAAGUUCCCGAGCCACCGUGAGUGCUACCCUCAUGUUUGAUUGUUCACGUCGGGUGUGUGGCACCGUGGCCGUAGCGUAGCUUGAGGCCCUUGCGGCAGCCCGCACUUGUCGUGGAGUAACGGUGGAUGGCGUCUGACCGUGCCGCCCGCACCCCGCAGCGUUUGGCGGUGAACGUGCCGCCUGGGGCGCACGGUUGAGGUCUUCUUGGGCGGAUGGCGCUGCCCGGGUCGGCCAAGCUGCCUAGCAGUCGGUGUUGGUCCUCGGGUCACCGGACAUCGGAACACGGAGUGUAGGUGGAUCAACUGGCGGAAGAGAAGCUCCGACGCACCCCUACCUGGAGCGCCAAAUAUCAGAUUUUGGGUUGUGGCAAAACCCUUGAGGAUCGAACACUGGGGUGCGCACGAAGAUCUCUCCCCCCUCUAGCUCGCACACAUCAUGAUCUCACGGCCUAGCUCAAUGAACAAAAAGAACAAGAGACACAAGAGUUUAUACUGGUUUGGGCCACCGAUGUGGUGUAAUACCCUACUCCCGUGUGGUGUGGUGGAUUGCCUCUUGGGCUGAGGAUGAACAGUUACAAGGGAAGAACAGCCUCCAGAGGACAGGUGUUCUUGUGCUCGGCGAACUUGUGUGGUUGAGGAUGAACUGAAUCCUCUCCCUGUCUCCCUAUGGAUCCGUCGCCCCCUACUGUGGUGACUACUCCUAUUUAUAGAGGCCCUGGUCCUCUUCCCAAAUAUUGAGCGGGAAGGGAUCCCACAAUGGCCAAAUUCGAAGGGAGACAACUAGUACAAAUUAUCCUGACAAAAGUAGUCUUCGACUGCCAUAGGCUCUGGUGGUGACGCCGUCUUGGGCUCCACGGUGACCUCUGUCCUGCUGUCCUGUUGGUUUUGGUCUCGUUGCACUGAUAUGGAAACCUUUGCGUGAUGCCUCGGCACUCCUCGCAUGCGCUUGCCUCUUUGGCACCAAAGAGGAAACGAGGACACUAUGCACGCUGGUGCCCGCCUGGCUCCAGUCGUCAUGGCUUGCGUCACAGAAACCUCGCGAGGUGUGCCUUGCCUUGAUCUCUGCGCCCCUCAUGAGCCAGCUUGGUGAGGCUGCGCUCGAAGAUGUCUUGUGUCGUCCGCCUCACGAGGCUUGUCCCCUCGCGAGGGUCUUAAAUGUUUGCUGGUGAAGGUGGGAUGUAUAGGGCCGUCGGUGGAGCCGCGUUGUGGGCCGCAUGCAAGCAAGUCUGGGGACCCCCGUUCCCAGAAUGCCGCAAGAUUCAGAAGGAGAAGACCACUCCUAUUUACCCCCUGAGGUCUUCGCUCUAACUUGGCAUGCUGAUGUUGGUAAUAUCAUGCAUAUGGUGCCUUGCAUUGCUUGCUUUAUACAUCAAAUAUGUCAUCUGCUUAUUUUAGACAUGCUUUGUGUGAAUGCCAUCUGUUUAGUUUCUUUAUCGUAUAUGUGAAUCAUGCAAUGCCAUCUUAUUUAGCCAGGCAUCAUAUAUGUGAAUUUUGCAAUGCCACCCUGGUUAGCCAGUCAUCUUAUAUAUGAAUUAUAUCAUGCCUUCAUUUUUUAUUACGUGUUAAAUUUGUCAACAAUUUUAGUACAUUCAGUUACUCUUCCUGUGCAUCAGCCAUUCGGCACAGUCAUGGAAAAAUCUGGAGUGGAAACAAGGUCUUCAGAGCAGACAAUGUUGUCUCACGAAGCGCAUGUCUUGCUGGUUACGGAUAGCUCCUCAGAGGAGGAUUCAGAGACAGAUGACCAAUCCUAUCCCCCCCCCCCCGAGGUGCAUGCUAUAACUUGGCAGGGUUAUGUUGCCCAUAUCGUGCAUAUGCUAUCUUGCAUUGCUAUGUCAUUUGCUUAGUUUAGACAUGCUUUGUGUGAAUGCCACCUGUUUAGUGUCUAAUUACCAUAUAUGUGAAUUAUGCAAUGCAUCUUGUUGCAAGACAUCAUAUAUGUGAAUUAUGCAAUGCUAUCUUGUGGCAAGGCAUUAUACAUGUGAAUUACGCAAUGCCAUGUUGUUUUAGCCAAGCGUCAUAUAUGUGAAUUAUAUCAUGCCGUCCUUUUUUGUAUUUCUCGUUGCAUUUGCCGACAAUGUUUGUAUAUUCAACUACUCUUCCUGUGCAUCAUCCAUUUGAAUUGGUGAUGGAGAAAUCUGGAGUGAAAACAAGGUCUUCAGAGCAGACAAUGCUACGUGUUAAAGCAGAUAUCUUGCUAGUUAUAGAUAGCUCUUCAGAGGGGGAUUCAGAGGCAGAUGACUAGUCCGAUUAUCCCUCUGAGGUGUAUGCUCAAACUUGGCAGGGUUAUAUUACUCAUAUCAUGCUUAUGUUGUACUGCAAUGCUUAGUUUUUACAUCAUAUACACAAUAUUGAAUGUCAUCUCCUUAGUUGACACAUCAUAUAUGUGAUUUCCCUAUGCUCACUUGCUUAGUAUAUAAACCAUAUAUUUGAAUUAUAUCAUGCCAUGAUGUUUACAUAGACAACAUGUAUCUGAAUUAUGGCAUGCCAACCCAUUUUCUAAAGACAUAAUAUAGUUAUAUCAUGUCAUCCUAUUUACAUAGUCAUCAUAUUUUGAAUUAUGUCAUUCUAUCCGUGAAUUAUAUCAUGGCAUCAUGUUUCCAUCGAUGGCAUGUUUGUGAUUUAUGGCAUGCCAACCACUUUAAUAGACACAUCCUAUAGUUACAUCAUGUCAUCCUGUUUACAUAGUCAUCAUAUUUUGAAGUAUGUCAUUCUAUCAUGUUUAGUUAGCCAUCAUACAUGUGAAAUUGUGUCAUGCUAUCCUGUUUAAUUAGCCAUCAUAUAUGUGAAAUUAUGUCCUGCUAUUCUGUUUGGUUAGACAACAUAAAUGUGAAUUAUUUUAUGCCCAGUUUUCUUCCCUUCUCUCCAUUGCACCUGCCUAUCUUACAGUGUCUGUACAUUCAAUUACUUUUCUUGUUUAUCAACCAUUUCAAUUGGAGGGGGUGAUGGCAGUAUCUGUGGGAGUAAAAACACAGUCUUCAGAAAAGAUCAUGCUACCUGUUGAUGCAGAUAGAACCAUAGUUGUACUUUCCCAAGAACCAGCCCCACCACACAUAACCCAGACUCAUGCAGAUUGUACCCCUAUCCAGUUGGACAGAGAACCAGUGUAUAUGAUAUGCGGCUUUCUAACCCCAGCAGAUAGUAACCCAGUGUAUAUGAUAGAGAACUAGCUACACCCCUUCUAACCCCAACCCCAGCAGAUAGUAACCCAGUUCCAGUUGACACAGCACCGUCUCCACCACAGAGCACCCAAACACGAGCAGUUAGUAAGGCAACUGCAGCACCCAAAGCACGAGGACCACCACUCCAAACCCCAAGUCAACUCUUAAAGCAAAAGAAGAAUUGUUCUCAGGUCUGGUGCCUUAGCCAUGGUUCAUACUACUUUGCUCUUGCAUCACUGUAUUUACACAUACCAACUUAUUUCAGAUUUGAAGGAUGCAAUUGAAACUCCAAUGGCGGAACAGGUAUGUUUUAAACCUGUUUAUUUAACGUGUUUGCUAUUGUAACUUGCUCUAUGUUGAUUUCAGUUUCAGUUGAAUAAACAGUUAUGUCAUCAUGCCAUGCACAUUACAAGUGUUGUUAUUGUUGUGUAGUUUCCCACACUUAUACUCUGUCUAUGCUGCUUUGUCUUAAACAGAUAUGAUUCGAAUUAUCUCUAUCUUGAUUUGACAACAUAUACUAGAAUGAUAUAGGCCGUACAGUGACCAUACUACAUAUAUAUAUGUUUGUUUCAUGUUGUUAUCUUGUCCACCUUACUGAUGAACUGGUUUACCAAAAUGAGUUUCAUAUAGAACAUGGUAAACAUGUGAUGUCUUUGUCUGUUUCUCUUUUAGAAUGCGGAUAAAAUGUGGGAGAAGAGUACCCCGUUAUGCAAUGGUAAAGGAAGUAAUGCAGGUAAGGUUCAAGAUAGUGUGACAUCCCUGUUGGUCUCCAAGAAAGCUGAUAAAAACUAUAUUGAAGACACUGAGACAACCCCAAAGUCCUGUCUUGAUGUAGUGUUCGAGUUACUGGCUACUACUACUGGCACCAGCUCUUCAAACUCUCUGCCUGGAUCAGUUCGGCUUCUUGAGUCUCAACUUCAGGUUGAAAGACAUCGAUAAGAUGUUAUGCGACAGGAAGCCGAAGGACUCAGAAGUCCCUGCAGAAUUCAGAUGCAUACUUUCUGGUGCAACAGUAAGUGCUGGAGGAUUUAAGCGCCAAACAAGAGAAAGUUAAUAAGCUUUCUAAGAAUCUUGCCAGCAUUAUGGGUACCUAGGAUAUUGUUUCUUGAGCUCUUCUGAAGUGGUUUCAGUUCAAUACUUGUUUUGCUGCGGUGUUUAAUUGCACUGGUCGCCAACUUUGAUAACCAGUGUAUAUGAUAUGCGGCUUUGUUCCCUAUAUUUGCACUGGUGGCAAACUUUGAUGCCAGGUGGAUGUAAUAUGUGUAAUAGCCGUGAUAGCCUAGCGUAAGUUGCCUACUUAUUUAUUUCCUUUUUGUCUUGUUUAUUUGUUUGCUUGUAGUUAGUGCAGUUCUUUUUCCGUAGUUUGCGUGUGGCCGCAAUAACCUAUUUUUUAAAACUAGGCCACAAUAACCAUGGGCUACAUAUUUACUAUAGUUACCAUGGGCCUCCUACGGGCCAUAGAAACAAUGGGCCUUCUAAGGCCCAUAGAAACAAUGGGCCUUCUACGGGCCGUAGCAUCAAUGAGCCUUCUAUGAGCCGUAUGAUCGAUCGGCCAAACAUGGGCCAAUAAUAAACCGCAUUAUGGGUCGUAAACAGGCUAGAUUUGGAAUCGUCCGUUCAUGGGACGACCAUAACGGGUCGUCGUUAAUCGGCCGUAUUUGAUGACACUAUGAAAAUUGCCCAAAGGAUUAACGGGCCGACUGUAACCACGGGCUGGAUUUGGCCCACAAGCAGAAAAGGCUAGUAACGCGCCGUAAGUAACCGAAUGCUGGAAAAAAUCCCAAGAAUAAAUAGGCCCUGAGAAGGCCAAAAUAUAACACGGUUUGGAAAUGGCCCAAUGGAAUAAUGGGCCCGUAAUGGGUAUAAAGAGGUACACUGUUCAUUGCGGGCCAGAUUCACCACGGGCCGUUAAUGGGUCAAGAGUUACAAAUGGCCUCGUAUGGGCUGAAAGACAUCAUGGGCCAUACAUGGGCAGGAAGUUACAAUGGGCUGGAAUCAUAUUGGACGGCCCAGAUGAAGCUACUGGGCUUAAUUCCGAUAGGCCGUAACGGGCCGUGAGUUAGCAGGUCGUAAAUGGGCUAUAUACGAAUAGUCCGUUAACAGGCUUUCCGUGGACCGGCGCGUUACCUUUUGACCAAGUCAAACGGGUCGGCCUUUUCACCGGAAUGGGCCUCUGUUGGGCCAUGCCACGUGUUGACGUAUCAUAGGUGCCUCCUGUCCAAUGAAUGGAUGACAUCUGUCCCAACGGUGAGCCAACACGUGUUUCCUCCGACCAAUGACAAUUUUACACGUGGAAAAUCCUCAUUGGUUUGGGCUGUUAACGGGUUAUCGGAUCCAAAACCGGACCCGACAGCUUGACGGUGACCCGUUAUGGUGGAUGCCACGUGUCGGUCACUGUCGGUGUCAAAACCGGCGGAUCUCGGGUAGGGGGUCCCGAACUGUGCGUCUAGGGCGGAUGGUAACAGGAGGCAGGGGACAUGAUGUUUUACCCAGGGUCGGGCCCUCUUGAUGGAGAUAAAACCCUACGUCCUGCUUGAUUAUUCUUGAUAAUAUGAGUAGUACAAGAGUUGAUCUACCACGAGAGCGGAGAGGCUAAACCCUAGAAGCUAGCCUAUGGUAUGCUUGUCUGUUGUCCUACGGACUAAAACCCUCCGGUUUAUAUAGACAAUAUAGGGGGCUAGGGUUACACAAGGUCGGUUACAAAGGAGGAGAUAUACAUAUCCGUAUUGCCUGGCUUGCCUUCCAUGCCAAGUAGAGUCCCAUCCAGACACGGGACGAAGUCUUCAAUCUUGUGUCUUCAUAGUCCAACAGUCCGGCCAAAGGAUAUAGUCCAGCUGUCCGGAGACCCCCUAAUCUAGGACUCCCUCAGUAGCCCCUGAACCAGGCUUCAAUGACGAUGAGUCCGGCGCGUAGUGUUGUCUUUGGCAGUGCAAGGCGGGUUCCUCCUCCGAAUACACCAUGGAAGAGUUUGAAUACAAGGAUAGUGUCCGACCCUGCAAAAUAAGUUCCACAUACCACUGUAGAGAGAAUAAUAUUUCCAGAAAUCUAAUCUGCUAACAUGUUUUGGCAGCAUGACCUCACGCCAUGGCCGGUAAUUAUUUGAACCGUUUUUCUUUAACCAGCCCCGCACAUAACGCGAGGCGAUUUCUUGACACGUCUUGUCAAAGCAGAGAUCGUGCUCCCCUUAUUACGGGAUUCUCAUUAAUACGGACGUGGGUAACCCAACCGUGCCUAGGACUCCUAGAUUUUAGGCAAGUCCCAAAUGACCACGAGGAGGACGAUUGAUAUUCACCCUCUUUAUAAAGGGACAAGACUUUUACUUUUUUUCCUCCCAUGCUCAAUCGAAUCCUUCCCCUGCCUCGAGUUCUAACACCCAAAUCCCAGGUCAGGUGCUUCGGACCUUCAAUCGUGUCUGGAUCCAGCCUUCAAGGCCGGUGGAUACCUUCCUCCGUCACGGAGGAGGAUAUCAAGAAGCUGAGGGAGGCCAGAUAUCUGACCGCUGAAAUUUUGCAUAGGCUGCCCGCAUGAGGGCAGGUCGUCCAUACUCCCGAACCCAACGAGAGCGUUGUGUUCGUAUCCCACUUCCUACGAGGACUAGGCCUCGCUCUGGAUCCCUUUGUUAGGGGUCUUAUGUUCUAUUACAGGCUGGAUUUUCACGAUCUGGCCCCGGAUUCCCUUCUUCACAUCUCGUCAUUUAUUGUCGUUUGUGAGGCAUUCCUCCGCAUUACCCCUCACUUCGGCCUGUGGCUCAAGACCUUUGAUGUGAAGCCAAAGACAGUUGAGCGGUAGUACGCAGCGUGCGGAGGUGCUCUAAUAAGCAGAAUUGCUGACGCUCCAUGGCCGAAGGGUUCCUUUCCAGAGGUGUCCGGAUUGUGGCAACAAGAGUGGUUUUACGUCACAGCUCCCCGAAGUGCCAAGUGGGUAACUGCCCCCACCUUUCGCUCGGGCCCUCCACCACAACUAAUGUCAUGGAUCAGCAAGGGGCUGAGCUGGGGUCCAGCCAAGGACGUGCCCAUAAUGCAGAGCCGCAUCCGAGAUCUCUUCGAGGGAGAUUUCAGUCUGGAUAUGGUAAUGCAAGUUAUGCUGGUUCGUCGAGUCCAGCCUUGCAAACGCCGGCCCCUCCGCAUGUGGGAAUUCAACCCGGAAGGACCAUGCACUAUUCAGAAUUUGAUGUACAAAUCGUUCUUCGGAACCCAAAUGGAGUGUCCGGACACUACCGAGGACAUGGGCCUGAGCAGCAACCGCACCAAUUCCCAAGUAAGUAAUCCCAUGGCUGAACACACCGUCCUUUUAUUUACCAUGACAUCAUUCUGAAGAAUCGCUCUUUAACCAGGACUGGAUAACAAAGGCGAAGAUGAUCCGAUGUUCGGCCCCCCUUCCUGAAGGCUUGGAAAAUCUGAUGCAGGAAAAGAUGCGUGAGCCAACACCUUGUCUAGUGCCCUCAAAGGAAGAUGAAGGGGGAAUCAAGAGGGCGAAAGCGGGCCUCCAUCGCUACCUAUUCCAACCGAGGGAAUGAGUGCCUCCGCAAGGGAGGAUAACCAAGGGGAAGAAUCUAGCAUUCUCUCUCCACGGGGAAGGAAGAGGACUACCUCUGAAGAUCCGGAAACCAAGGUUUCCAAACGGGAGAAGAAAUCUCCACCAGAGGGUCCUGUCUCGGAGGGUGUUCUUGUCGCACAAUGUCCACGUGAGGAUCAGCACUCUAAUGAGCUGUAAGUAAUCAAAAAGUACUUAAUAGUGAAGAUAUCCUACCUUACUUCUGAGGAAAAUAACCGAAGCAUUUAUCUUGCUGUUCGGAUCUUAGCCCUUCUUAGCAGAGCUCGUCUUCAGGUGAUCUUCCUCCGGAGAUGAUGGAGAGCGAAACGCCUCCUCGGGACUCCGCAGCCCAUGAGGCGGGCGACCUUUGAAGUGUCGUCGUGGAGGGUUUCUCCUGAUCCAGCAAGGCCAGAAGGUAAUCCUAUGGCCACCCAAAGUCCCUAGUGUCCGGCUCUUGAAGAGAGCAAUCAAAAGAGUCCAGCACCAUCUGGUAUGCGGUCGGACGUACUGAGGGAUCUGUUAGAGAGAGCGACUAUCUCAAAAGAGCACCGUACGUUGAUGGGUACGGUGAUUGAAAGGAUUUCGUCCGCCGAAAGCGGGUUGCAUGAAGCCUUUAUGAGUCUACUGACGGGUUUUGAGGUACGUGAAAUGAUGUACAUUUUUGAUAGUACCGCACAUAUUUAGGUGUGCCCUAUGUAGAUAGUAUCCCCUGAGACUCUAGUUGUUGUCGAGAACGGCGGCAAACAGAGGAUCGUAGUCCCAGGUAAUAACCAGACCGCUUAUAUGCGUAGGUGGUUGAAGCUCUGGUGGCUAGCCGGACUGAUGGGUUUGCCGAACUAAGGCGGCAACUGGAUGCGGCAAAUGCCGACAUCGUGCUUGUUAACAAGCGGCUUGACGAGGCGCAGGGUAGGUGAUUUUUCUGGUGAAUGUCACAUAGUGAGAGCAACAUGAUGCCAGUAUCUUUAAUAUGUUGUGACUGCAGAUGGAGCUGCCACCGUGGAGACCCUUCGGGUGGAGCUUGCCCGAGCCAUGGAGCAAGCAAGGAGUAGUAAUGCGGCCGCUUUAAGGGCGGCCGAAGAGUUAAGGGCCAAAUAGGCCGCGCAUAGCGAGAGCAAAGAAAGAAAUGGCCAAGAUGGCUGUAAAGUUAAAAGAUACUGCUGAUCGUUGCCAGCUUCUUGAAGAAGAAAACUGGGCGAAGGUGACGGACCUGGAGAAGGCCACAAUGGAGACCAAAGACACCCGCUCUGUGAUGAGAGCGAAGAAGGAGGAGCUGCGUCAAGCUGGGGAUAUCGCGGCUGGGAGACCUUUUAUGCUACGUAGGAAGUUUGGAGAUCCUCGGUAUGCCCCUCUGGACCGGCUGUGGAGUUCGGCGGACGCAUAUCUGGACUUGGCGGCGAGUGUUGUCGAUGCGGCCGAAUACUUCUGAGAUCAAACAGAUCGUGAAGUGGACAAGCUAUUCUGGUCACAAUUUAACGUUCCAGAGCGUCCGCUUCCAUUGACUGAUCGGCUUGCCGAAUGGGCCGAGCUGAAUAGAUUGUCCGUACUCGCCAUGAGGUCUGUUGUGGAUCAUCUGUGGCCGGAAAGGCCAAAGCCGAACAGCUAUUUUAGUUUGGUGCAGCAGUUCCUUGGUGCGGUGCCGCACAUGAAUGCGAUGAAGAGGUCGGCGUGCAUAGAAGGCUCGCGGAUGGCCCUUGCCCGUGUCAAAACAUACUGGGCGGAGAUGGAUGCCACCACUGUUGCGGUGCAGGGUUCGGCCGUAGGCCGAGUGGCUGUCGAGCACUAUUUUGAAGAAGUUCUUGAAGGCGCUCAUUCGAUAGAGGCCCCGUGCUCGAAGAAUAUUAUGUUUGAGUGACACGUAUUCCCAUUGUAAAAAUAAUGUUUUAUUAAGUUUAUCAAGGUUGUAUUUAUACUUUUGCCCGAAAGUAUUAUGAUGCCUCCUGUGCGGCCGUGUAUGUAUAUUUUUAUAUAACCUAAAAGAUUGCAGUCGUCGGCUUCAGCCCCCACGCAUAUAAUGCGGGGGUGUUUGCAAAAGACGCAUGUUCACACUUGAUCCAACAUGUUGGUCCAUUAAGGAGGUGAUAGCACAGCGAACUAGGCAACUGGACUAUAAUGCUUUAACACUUUCACUUAGCCAGAGGAGUUUGACAGUGGGGCUACUAUAUAGCCCCUGGUGGCUCCGCACUUAUCCGAAUUCGGGGUGCGUACAUGCCUGGCUGGGAAACGGCCCUUCGUUAAGGCGGAGGAAUCCCGAAGAUUCCGAUAGGUCAUCGAGUGGUUGACUAGUCUCACGCUAUAUCAUGACAGUCAAUUUUCGGCUUUCUCUACUGAGGUGCUCAUCCGGAUAAACCAGGGCACAAUCACAGUAGUUCUCCUGGUGCUGCCUUAGCCAAUAGAGCGAAACAUAAGGCAGCAAAACACAGGAGCCGGGCAAACCCAACAUUUGACGGAAGACAUGAUUCGGAGCUGAUGCAUAUAAGGCCAAACUCGCGACGCCGAACACUCCCUAAGGUAUUCGGUCUUUAUGGUGUAAACCGGGCCUAAACAGUGUCCUUUGUAAUAAGCCCCUGGUGUCCAGGUACGUGCAUUAUUCUGACAUGGCCACAUGCCAAGACGUCAGCAUCCUUCUCAAUUGUACUGAGAAUCCGAGGGAUGUGUAUCAACAAGAGACAGUAAAAAAGGUUUACACAGGGUCCUAAUCUAAAAAGAAUCCUUGGAGCGGGUCCCUGCUGCUCAUAUGCGCUUGUGUCUCCAUUGUGUCGUAUCCUGGACGGGUGUAGCAUGAUGGUCAUCUGUAAAAGAGAGGAACUUAGUUGAAAAGUUAUCGUACAAAAAGGUAGGUUAUACUAAAGAAACCAUGUAUAAUUCAAGAUGAGUAAAAUUGAGCCUAAUUGUCACUUGUUUGCGCGAGUUGAGCCCCUUGUAUUGUAAUAGGGGUAUGGCCAUCAAACCUGUAUCAACUACAUAUAUCUGCGCCGGACUCGUCUAACCGCGUCCGUGGUUUUAACGACCUGUCAAAUGCUUUAGUUGGUGAGGCCGUUUAGUGUGCGGCUGCCAGGGCAGCCGCACGGUCUUUCAUGCGCAAGGAACGCUCAAUAUUUACAUUUACUGUAAUGAUGCCGCGUGGACCGGGCGUCUUAAGCAUGAGAGAAGCGUAAUGCGGUAUUGCGUUAAAGCGAGCGAAAGCUUCACGUUUGAGUAGUGCUUGAUAGCCACUUUGGAACGGAGCGAUGUGGAAGGUUAACUUUUUGCUGCGGAAGUUAUCAGGAAAGCCGAAUAUUACCUCUAGUAGUAGGGAGCCCAUGCAAUGGGCUUCUGUGCCUGGCGUUACUCCUUUAAAGGUAGUAUUGCUAUGCCUAAUUUUUGCUGGGUCUACCCCCAUGUUGCUGACUGUGUCCUGAUAUAUCAGGUUUAAACUGCUGCCGCCGUCCAUCAGGACUCAUAUAAAGUGGCAUCCGUCAAUUAUUGGGUCUAAUACCAAGGUAGCCCAUCCUGCCCACCGGAUACUUGCCGAGUAAUCCCGAUGGUCAAAAGUGAUCGGUUGGGACGACCAGUGGCAGAACUCCGUGGCGAUAGGCCCUGGGGCAUGUGGCUCUAGGCAUGUCACUUUGUUUCUCCCCUUUAUCACGUGUAACACAUUGACUGUUUUGACUUCUGGUGGGAAUUUCUUCUGUUCCCCGGUGAUUUGCUUGCGAGGCUCAUCCUCGUCUUCGCUUGGUGUAUCCUGCCCCUUAUGUUCGGCGUUGAGCUUGCCGGACUGCUUGAAGACCCAACAUUCUCUAUGGGUAUGAUUUGCAGGUUUAUCGGGGGUACUAUGGAUCUGACAUAUUUGGUCCAGAAUCUUGUUUAGGCUAGCAGUUCGUCUCUGUUGCCUUUGGAGGGCGUCUUUUGCUGACCUGGCCGAGAGCUUCUGAAUCUGGCUUUUACCGUCGUGCUCUUCGGGUUGUCUUCUUUAUUUCGGUGCUUGUUUUUGCUGUGUCGUGAUUUCCCGUUUCCGUCCCUCACUUCGGAUGUACUUGGGUCGCUGGUGCUGCAUCGGGCUAACCAACUGCCCUCGCCCGCGCAAAAGUGGGUCAUGAGGCUUGUUAAUGCUGCCAUUGUUCUCGGCUUUUCUUGGCCGAGGUGUCUGGCGAGCCAUUUGUCUCGAACGCUGUGCUUGAAAGCUGCUAAGGCAUCGGCGUCCGGACAGUCGACUAUUUGGUUCUUCUUAGUGAGGAACCUGUUCCAAAGCUUUCGGGCUGACUCUCCAGGCUGUUGAGUUAUAUGACUUAAAUCGUCUACAUCCGGUAGUCGGACAUAGGUCCCUUGAAAAUUUGCCCGAAAGGCAUCUUCGAGCUCUUCCCAGCUUCCAAUGGAGUUUUCGGGGAGGCUUUUAAGUCAGUGCCGAGCUGGCCCUUUGAGCUUGAGGGGUAAGUACUUGAUGGCAUGGAGAUCGUCUCCUCGAGCCAUGUGGAUAUGGAGGAUGUAGUCCUCAAUCCAGAACCCAGGGUCUGUCGUUCCGUCGUACGCCUCUAUGUUUACGGGUUUGAAUCCCUCUGGAAAUUCAUGGUCCAGCACCUCAUCGGUGAAACAUAGGGGGUGUGCGGCACCCCUGUAUUUGGGUAUACCAUGGUGUUCAGAUGUUUGUUGUGUUGCAUUGCAUGCUGGAGUGCCGUUGCGUGGCCCGUAUAUGGAUUUGGUUGCGCCGUCCUUUUGAUGCGAGCCCUCGUGUGGAUCGCGUACUGGCUUAUGUGCAGCGUCGUUUGCCGCUCUAUGUUGGUCACGAGGUCAUCUAGCUGACCGAAUGGCCGUUUUGUUUUUUAAUUGCGGCGGAUCUAAGGCCUCCUCAUCGAAUUCGGGUAGCUCUUGGUGUGGCGAUUACCGCCGUACUUCGCUGCAGUAUUGAGUACUUCGCUCCAUCUGAUUCUGAGUGUGUCUUGUGCAGCCCUGAGCCUUUGCUUCUGCUUUUUCAGACUCCUCGCAGUGGCAACAAGCCUUUUAUGGGCAUUCUGUUGCUCCAGGUGCCUGUUCGGUGUGAUGUCGUCCGGACUGUUAUCUUCGACGGAGUCGGGUUGUUCGGUUUGAUUCUCCGUGUUGCCGUGGUCGGGCAAUGGUUCACCCUGCUCUAACGCUGGGUCUAUAUGGUCGUUGUUUCUGUCGAGGCAGGAUUUGGAGCGGCGCUUACGCCGCCGCUUUGACUGCUUCUCGAGGGAACAACCCUUCGCUGCGUCCUUCCGUUCCUCGUCGUCAUUUUCUUUGGGUGCAUCCACCAUGUAUACGUCAGAUGAUGAAGUGGGCGUCCAGUGCCCUGUGGGCAGUGGUUCCUAUUCGUCUCCUGCAUUGUCGUCCAUACCGUCGAUGUCAUCGGAGUCGAAGUCGAGCAUGUCAGUCAAAUUGUCGAUAGUGGAUACUAAGUGGGUGGUGGGUGGGCGGCGAAUUUCUUCGUCAUCCGCAUCCUGAUCCUGCUGGACAUAGUUCGGCCAGGACUCUCCUGACAAGGAGAGAGACCUUAAUGAGUUCAGUAUGUCGCCGAAGGGCGAGUGCUGAAAGAUAUCCGCGGAGGUAAACUCCAUGACUGGCGCCCAGUCGGAUUCGAUAGGCACGGGCACAGGCGGUUCGGAGUCCGUGGCUGGGGAAGGAUCCAACAGCUUGGCAUCACGGCUCUCGUGAAGGGUAAGGUUGAUAUUCGGCUUGAUCGCCACUGAGGAUACGACCUCUGUGUCGGGGUCUAUCCACCCAUCCAUGGAUGGUGCAACUAGUUCCGAAUUGAGGGUCGGAGCGGUUGCUGGCGCGAUCUCCUGAACACUGUCCGAUGGUAGAGCUAAAUCAUGCUCAUCGUGACCGUGUGGCGCACAAGGCAGGGGCUUGAAUCCGUCGAAGAUCAACUCACCGGGGAUAUCGGCCGUGUAGUUUAAGCUUCCAAACCUGACCUGGUGGCCAGGGGCGUAACUCUCGAUCUGCUCCAGAUGGCCAAGCGAGUUGGCCCGCAGUGCAAAGCCGCCGAAUACAAAGAUCUGUCCGGGGAGAAAAGUCUCACCCUGGACUGCAUCGCUAUCGAUGAUUGAAGGAGCCAUGAAGCCUAAUGAUGAUGACACAGAGGAACUCUUAGUGAAGGCACCAAUGUCGGUGUCAAAACCGGCGGAUCUCGGGUAGGGGGUCCCAAACUGUGCGUCUAGGGCAGAUGGCAACAGGAGGCAGGGGACACGAUGUUUUACCCAGGUUCGGGCCCUCUUAAUGGAGGUAAAACCCUAUGUCCUACUUGAUUAUUCUUGAUAAUAUGAGUAGUACAAGAGUUGAUUUACCACGAGAUCGGAGAGGCUAAACCCUAGAAGCUAGCCUAUGGUAUGAUUGUCUGUUGUCCUACGGACUAAAACCUCCAGGUUAUAUAGACACCGGAGGGGGCUAGGGUUACACAAGGUCGGUUACAAAGGAGAUAUACAUAUCUGUAUUGCCUGGCUUGCCUUCCACGCCAAGUAGAGUCCCAUCCGGACACGGGACGAAGUCUUCAAUCUUGUGUCUUCAUAGUCCAACAGUUCGGCCAAAGGAUAUAGUCCGGCUGUCCGGAGACCCCAUAAUCCAGGACUCCCUCAGUCAACCUUUACGAAAGCACUUCUAUGACGCGUGAUUUAUCGUCAUGGAAGUAGACACUUUCAUGAUGAUAAUUUUGGUAAUGUCAUGGAACACUUCUACGACAGCACAGGUAUGACUAUCUUGAUUCUGUCAUAAAAUCAUCAUGGAUGUACAUGCAUGACAGAAAACAUGACCUACUGUGACAAACACGUAUCAUCACGAAAGUGUCCUUUUUUGUAGUGAUGCAUGCUGAAUAGAGGUUUUUGGGUGGAGUAUUAGUAGUAGAUGUAGUUGGACUAAUAGUCUACUUAUCAUUGCUGUAAUGCCUAUUUGAGAUUAUACCAUGAAUGAUCAUAUUCAUAAAUAUUGCAAUCUUUUCAAUCGCCUAACUGUAAUUUGUUUACCAUGCUACUUUCUAUUUCGAGAGAGAUUUCACUAGUGAACCUAUGGCCCCAGGUUAUAUUCUCCGUUGCCUAAUUCUUCUACAAAAUUGCCACUAUUUUUCCACUUUACUAUUUUCUAUUAUCUCUAUCACGUGUCUUUUACCUUGUAAUGAGCAAGACAAGGGGAUUGACAACCCUCUUUCCAUGUUGGGGACAAGUAUUGUUUGUGUUUUGUGUGCAUGUGUUGUUGACCUAUGUAGCAUAGAAGCUCCUACUGGUUCGAUAAACCUUGGUUCUUCACUGAGGAAAAACUUGUUAUUUGCUGCUUCACCCUUCCUAUUGGGGGAAGCCCAAUGACUCUUGCGGGAGUAGACGCGACCAAAAAUGUUCGCUCCAUGGACCCUCUUGGGGCAAACAAAUCAUUCGGGGGGGAGGGGGUCGAGGGUUCCUCCUAGAGUUGACAUAUGCUAAAUUAUAGGCCCCUCCAUUUACGCCAUCAUAUUAAUAUGGGAAAGUAAAUCAUGAACUAACAUUCUAUAAUAUUUAUAUCUGCUGCAAAACAAAAGACCCAAAGAGGCAAAUCCAACUAAUAUGGCGAGCCAAUCCUGUGCAUCCAAUGACCUAAAUGGUUCUAUUGGUGAGUACUAACAUAUUUAGCAUGCAAUCAAUAUCAUACCAUAUAUUAACAAUAGCACUAACAAAUAACUAGCGUGUAACUGAUAUCCUACCUUUACCAAAAAAAUCGUACCUAAUAUCAACAUGCAUAUUUAAUACCUUGUCUAAUUUUAACUCUCAGUUAAUGCCAUAUCUGAUAUCAAUGUGCACUACACGUACGCAUUUACUAAUCUAGGUCAAAUGUCCAUAGACCCGCUCUGGAUGCAUCCGGGCAUCAACUAUUUGUUUGUAGUUUAAGUGGUACCGACGAUAUUUCAUACCUGUCGGCCACAUAUUUGCAAUGGCUAUAUUUUUUGUCAAGGUGCAUUCCCGUCCAUUAGUUGUUUGAUAGUGCUUGAUAUGAUUUUCCCAGGCAAGUUGAUCUCGUCCCUUCUUGUCCAUAAGCUAUCGGCUGGAUUCAAUUCUCCUAGCCUUCUCCCUAACCUCCACCCCCCAUCUCCUUCUGAGGUCAUAGUGGGCUAAUCAGUCAGAUGCCAAGGAUGGGGUAGUGGGGAACUCCUUCAAAUUCCACGAGUGAGCAAAGGGUGUGGUCAAGGCAUACCAUAUGGCUGGGGUGCCACAGAAGUUCCUAUCAGGUUGAUGAGUCUUUGUGGCGAUUUUGGAUAAUUCAUCGGCGGCAAUGCGUGUGAUGGAGGUCGGUCGGUGGUGGCUCAUUGAGCAUCUCUCUGGUUUGCCUGGAUGGAUCUGUACUCAGUCAGUUUGAAGCCCAUAGGUGUCUCCGGCGAUGCUUUUGGGCGUAGGCGGAGCACCUAUGUGGUGUAGAGGUGGUUCCAUGGUGCAUGUCGUGCUGAGUCCAAUUUUGCAUCUUACUUCUUGUUUUGUAUUGUAGCCAUAGGAUUUUCGGGAUUUUAGCGCAUUCGUGCGCCCUUUUUGUCUAUUUUCCCAGGAUCUUAACGAAGGAGAGAAUCAAAGCAUUAUGAUGAGUCCAAUUUAUGUGAUGUUUUUACUAAGUAUUUUGUGCCUACGUAG
rnacentral:lncRNA from 1 species